rnacentral:rRNA from 1 species
GAUGAACGCUAGCUACAGGCUUAACACAUGCAAGUCGAGGGGAAACGAUAUUGGAAGCUUGCUUCCGAUAGGCGUCGACCGGCGCACGGGUGAGUAACGCGUAUCCAACCUGCCCACUACUUGGGGAUAACCUUGCGAAAGUAAGACUAAUACCCAAUGAUAUCUCUAGAAGACAUCUGAAGGAGAUUAAAGAUUCAUCGGUGAUGGAUGGGGAUGCGUCUGAUUAGCUUGUUGGCGGGGUAACGGCCCACCAAGGCGACGAUCAGUAGGGGUUCUGAGAGGAAGGUCCCCCACAUUGGAACUGAGACACGGUCCAAACUCCUACGGGAGGCAGCAGUGAGGAAUAUUGGUCAAUGGGCGAGAGCCUGAACCAGCCAAGCAGCGUGCAGGAUGACGGCCCUAUGGGUUGUAAACUGCUUCUAUAAGGGAAUAAAGUGAGUCUCGUGAGACUUUUUGCAUGUACCUUAUGAAUAAGGACCGGCUAAUUCCGUGCCAGCCGCCGCCGUAA